AAUCAACGCUGGCGGCGUGCCUAACACAUGCAAGUCGCACGAGAAAGGGACUUCGGUCCUGAGUAAAGUGGCGCACGGGUGAGUAACACGUGACUAAUCUACCUCCGAGUGGGGAAUAACUGAGGGAAACCUUAGCUAAUACCGCAUAACACUUACGAGUCAAAGCAGCAAUGCGCUUGGAGAGGAGGUCGCGGCAGAUUAGCUAGUUGGCGGGGUAAUGGCCCACCAAGGCGAUGAUCUGUAUCCGGCCCGAGAGGGCGCACGGACACACUGGAACUGAAACACGGUCCAGACUCCUACGGGAGGCAGCAGUGGGGAAUUUUGCGCAAUGGGGGAAACCCUGACGCAGCAACGCCGCGUGGAGUAUGAAGUCUCUUGGGACGUAAACUCCUUUCGAUAGGGAAGAUAAUGACGGUACCUAUAGAAGAAGCCCCGGCUAACUUCGUGCCAGCCGCCGCCGUAAC
rnacentral:rRNA from 1 species